CUGCUGGCUCGUGCCGUCCACCGAACGGUCGGCAGGCGAUCCGCGUCGGUCGCGCUGGGUGGUAUGGUUCCACAGAGGCCGGUUCUUGUGCUGCCUACCCCUUCAGGGAAGAGUUCCAAACUCGAUGUAAGCCUCCAUCCGGCGCCCCCCAGAGGGCGCGGGAGGACAACGGAGCACCCCCCGCGUUCCACCGAGCCUCCUCGGUCGCGUGGCCCGCGGGGACGUGCGAUGCUCUAGGACCCAGCGAACGCCGUGGGCGAGGACUCACGUCCCGGUCCCAAGUGAAGCAACGGUAUAACGCGGACGGCCGCUCCCGCCCCCCGACCGCCCCGGCGGCGCGGGGGCGAAGGCGCGGCGUCGCUGAGGAAUGCUACCU
rnacentral:misc_RNA from 1 species